rnacentral:rRNA from 1 species
AGAGGUCUACAUUAGAUACCCGUGUAGUCCCAGCCGUAAACUAUGCGCGUUAGGUGUAUCGGUGACCACGAGUUACCGAGGUGCCGAAGGGAAACCGUGAAACGUGCCGCCUGGGAAGUACGGUCGCAAGGCUGAAACUUAAAGGAAUUGGCGGGGAGCACCACAACGGGUGGAGCCUGCGGUUUAAUUGGACUCAACGCCGGGAAGCUCACCGGAUAAGACAGCGGAAUGAUUGCCGGGCUGAAGACUCUGCAUGACUAGCUG